rnacentral:rRNA from 13 species
ACACAGCUCGGUUUCUAUCUACAAUGUUCAAUCCCAACUUUUCUGAGUUCUAGUACGCAAGGAAUGGUCUCAGCGAUGCCCGACUAUAUUGGCCCCAUCGACGUAAUCAACUUCUGGCUGCUGCAAAGAAGGAGAACAAAAGGUUUAGGGAUUAGUUAGGUGCC